rnacentral:tRNA from 1 species
UAGCUCAGUUGGUAGAGUGUAAGACUCUUAACCUUGAGGUUGUGGGUUCAAGCCUCAC